rnacentral:tRNA from 1 species
GGGGUAAUAGCUCAGUGGUAGAGCACAUACUUAGCAUGCACAAGGUCCUGGAUUCUAUUCCCAGUACCUCCA